rnacentral:rRNA from 1 species
AGAGAGAGACAUGCGCGCAUAUCAAUAAGCGGAGGAAAAGAAACUAACUAGGAUUCCCUCAGUAACGGCGAGUGAAGCGGGAAGAGCCUCAAAUUUGAAAUCUUCAAGGUUCUACCUUGACGAAUUGUAGUUUAAAGAAGUGUUUUCUGCUGAAGUUUUGGUAAAAGUUCUUUGGAAUAGGACAUCAUAGAGGGUGAGAAUCCCGUAUUUGACCAUUAUUUUCAGCUUUGUGAUACACUUUCAAAGAGUCGGAUUGUUUGGGAAUGCAGUCCAAAAUGGGUGGUAAAUUUCAUCUAAAGCUAAAUAUUGGCGAGAGACCGAUAGCGAACAAGUACCGUGAGGGAAAGAUGAAAAGAACUUUGAAAAGAGAGUUAAACAGUACGUGAAAUUGUCAAAAGGGAAGCGUUUGACACCAGUGUUGUUUUCUCGAAAAUCAAUUAAAAAUGGCUCGAUUUUGUAUUGUUGAGACCUUAAAAGCUCACUGUACAUUUUUCGUGUCUUUUUUAAUGCACUUUUCGUUUAACAAGUCAACAUCAGUUUCUUUUGUUGUAAAAGGGUCAUUGGAAGGUGGCUUUCUUUUCGGAGAAAGUGUUUAUAGCCUUUGGCCUCUGCAAUCGGAGAGACUGAGGUCUGCAGCGUAGACUCUUCGGGGUUAGAUACAUUUGUGCUAAGUUAUAGCUUUUUAUAGACAACUUGUUGACUAUAAUUAGUCUUGUAGCUUACUCGCUUAUGCUAUUUUACCUACGCUUAGGAUGUUGAGUCGUAGAGCACGCAG